rnacentral:misc_RNA from 1 species
GAUGAAGAACGCAGCGAAAUGCGAUACUUGGUGUGAAUUGCAGAAUCCCGUGAACCAUCGAGUCUUUGAACGCAAGUUGCGCCCGAAGCCAUUAGGCCGAGGGCACGCCUGCCUGGGCGUCACACGUCGUUGCCCCCCCAUCUACUCCUUCGGGAUUGCGGGGGGCGGAUGAUGGCCUCUCGUGCGCCUCGUCGCGCGGUUGGCCUAAAUGCCAAGUCCUCGGCGACGCACGCCACGACAAUCGGUGGUUGCGAAACCUCGGUUGCCUGUCGUGUGCGGUCGUCGCGCAUCGAGGGCUCGAAAAAAUUGCCGGGCUCCGGCUCGGCUUUCAACGCGACCCCAGGUCAGGCGGGGUUACCCGCUGAAUUUAAGCAUAUCAAUAAGCGGAGGA